UGGGGAAUCUUGCGCAAUGGGCGAAAGCCUGACGCAGCGACGCCGCGUGAGGGAAGAAGGCCUUCGGGUUGUAAACCUCUUUCAGCAGGGACGAAGCCACUCGGGUUAAUAGCCCAGAGGGUGACGGUACCUGCAGAAGAAGCCCCGGCUAACUACGUGCCAGCAGCCGCGGUAAUACGUAGGGGGCAAGCGUUGUCCGGAUUUAUUGGGCGUAAAGAGCGUGUAGGCGGCCAGACAGGUCCGUUGUGAAAACUGGAGGCUUAACCUUCAGACGUCGAUGGAAACCGUUUGGCUAGAGUCCGGAAGAGGAGAGUGGAAUUCCUGGUGUAGCGGUGAAAUGCGCAGAUAUCAGGAAGAACACCCGUGGCUAAGGCGGCUCUCUAGUACGGUACUGACGCUGAGACGCGAAAGCGUGGGGAGCGAACAGG
rnacentral:rRNA from 1 species